UGGCAACACCAGAAAUCACAGACAAUAACAAGUGAAAAAGUGCAGAAAUAACAGUAAAAAAUGUGAUGGAAUCUAUGAUUUCAUUUGUUUCUCCACUGGAGAGGAAAAAAAAGAAAAAACAAAUGUCCUCAAUUUCCACAGCUCUUAAUUGUCAGUGUUUUUAACUAUGAUUGCAAGUGAAAGAAAUGUUUUACAUCUGGAAGAGAAAAAGCACACAAAGCUGCCCAAUAAGCAAAAAGCAUUUGAUUUAAAAGGUCAUCUGAAUCAGCAGAGCACCUUGGCAACAGGGGGAUGAGUUGCUGAGAGACUCAAGACGUACGUGGACUUGGAUCUUUUGCUCCCAGUCACAUGGAAACUAAGCAUGCCACGAGGAAACAACAAUCCCUGGCUUUUCUGGGAGCUGCUGGCUGCAUCCUCUGCAGCUCCUGCCAAACGACAGCAGCAGAGGCACUGACGCAGUUUGAGAAGUGAGAGCUGGCCAGGAGAGGGGAGACAGAGGGCUCACCAUUAAGUCAUCCCAAGGCUCACAAUUUACAGAAGAUAGCUGAGUACCAACAGAAACGGAUCAUUCCUAUGCUAAAGUGAUGCCUUCUUCUGCAGAUUUCUCCAGUAUCUCUCAAGAUAGAACCUUCACAGUUAGCCUCCCCCUCCCAUACAGACCUGGACAGAUGGGUACCUCAGCUCAGAAGCUGAAACGUCCAGGUAUGAUGCACCCAGCUUAAUUAAGUAACUCUUAGAAGGUGCCUGAGUGGUACAAUAUAAAGUGGAUCUGCAGAGUGAUGUGCAGCUUACAAGGGGAGGAACAGCAAGAACAGCAAGAACAGCGAGCACAUCAGCCAAACCCCAGCACGGCUGGGUGAAUCCACCCCGUGCUGGUUCUGUUCAGAUGCAGCAUUCUUCCCUUCCUGGGCAAAACUGUUGUGCAAGUUCCUCAACACUAAUGCAGUGCUUCUAAACCCACAGGGAGCCACAUCCCCCAGCAGACACAGGGAUAUUUUUUGUAAAAUGCUCUGGUGUUUGAGAAUAAAGAGCUCUUAUAUAAAAUGUACACUGUUGACAACCUGUUUGUUUGCAGAGAGGCAACCCAGCUUGACACACAAAGCUUUGUGUGCACAGCAUUUGGUUGCUUUUAAGCUUUUCUCAUUUCAAUCUCCUUCAGUAGGCAUAAAUUCUGAAACACUUGUUUAGAUUUGUUUGCUCGUUUAUCACUUACAAAGCCAGUUUCUACUCUACAGGUCUGUGAAACACUGGAAAUCAGUAACAUAACAAGAAUUAAGUUAGAGCAACUUUUUAUUUUAUUUUUUUUUUUUUCCUCUAAAUUUAAAAGCUUUCCAAACAGGGUGAAAUUUCUCACUUUGGAGCACGUAUCCUGCUGGGACAGAAACAGCAAAGGACAAAUGAAAGGAAAUCAACAGGCUUCUGGAGCCAAACAGACUGAAUUUAACAGCUGAAUCCCAAUUUAAGACAACUUUUACUUUAAAAUAGACAACUAUUUACUAAGUCCAAGACAUUAAUUCCAACUUUUAAGUGUUGGGUUUUCUUUUUUCCCUGAAAAGGCCUUACAAAAUGUAAACCAGGAGAUGCCUGCUGUUGGCAGUGAGUACAGAAUCACAGCUCCUGAGGGCACAGGUUUCAGCUGGGUUUAUUAAAUGUCUCUCUACCACAUAAGACCCUAAUGAACAGCCAAGUGUUAAGCUGUCCACAACUAGAAUCCCUUCACAGCAGAAGUACAGUUAGAGAAACCUUUCCUUUAUUGAAAGCUGAGCAGGGUUUAACCUUAGGAAUUAAAAAAAAAAAAAAAAAAAGACUGAACAGCAAGAA